CAGGUUUUCUUGUAUGGCCUC
rnacentral:siRNA from 1 species